GACGAACGCUGGCGGCGUGCUUAACACAUGCAAGUCGAACGGGGAAGCCCCAGCUUGCUGGAGUGGAUCAGUGGCGAACGGGUGAGUAACACGUGAGCAACCUGCCCCUGACUCUGGAAUAAGCGCUGGAAACGGCGUCUAAUACUGGAUAUGAGAAGGGUCCGCAUGGACACUUUCUGGAAAGUUUUUCGGUUGGGGAUGGGCUCGCGGCCUAUCAGCUUGUUGGUGAGGUAAUGGCUCACCAAGGCGACGACGGGUAGCCGGCCUGAGAGGGCGACCGGCCACACUGGGACUGAGACACGGCCCAGACUCCUACGGGAGGCAGCAGUGGGGAAUAUUGCACAAUGGGCGAAAGCCUGAUGCAGCGACGCCGCGUGAGGGAUGACGGCCUUCGGGUUGUAAACCUCUUUCAGCAGGGAAGAAGCGAAAGUGACGGUACCUGCAGAAGAAGCACCGGCUAACUACGUG
rnacentral:rRNA from 1 species